rnacentral:rRNA from 1 species
GUGUCAGCCGCCGCGGUAAUACGGAGGGAGCUAGCGUUGUUCGGAAUUACUGGGCGUAAAGCGCGCGUAGGCGGACUUUCAAGUCAGGGGUGAAAUCCCGAGGCUCAACCUCGGAACUGCCUUUGAUACUGUAAGUCUUGAGUCCGAGAGAGGUGAGUGGAAUUCCUAGUGUAGAGGUGAAAUUCGUAGAUAUUAGGAAGAACACCAGUGGCGAAGGCGGCUCACUGGCUCGGUACUGACGCUGAGGUGCGAAAGCGUGGGGAGCAAACAGGAUUAGAUACCCCCGUAGUCC